rnacentral:rRNA from 1 species
UACGUAGGGUGCAAGCGUUAAUCGGAAUUACUGGGCGUAAAGCGUGCGCAGGCGGUUUUGUAAGCCAGAUGUGAAAGCCCCGGGCUCAACCUGGGAACUGCGUUUGGAACUACAAGACUAGAGUGUGUCAGAGGGGGGUGGAAUUCCGCGUGUAGCGGUGAAAUGCGUAGAUAUACGGAGGAACACCAGCGGCGAAGGCGGGUAGCUGGGCCAACACUGACGCUAAAGCGCGAAAGCUAGGGUAGCAAACGGGAUUAGAUACCCGGGUAGU